rnacentral:rRNA from 1 species
GGUUGAGACCGUCGGGAGACAGGUUAGUUUUACCCUACUGAUGAAGUGUUGUUGCAAUAGUAAUUCUGCUCAGUACGAGAGGAACCGCAGAUUCAGACAAUUGGCAUUUGCACUUGCCUGAAAAGACAAUGGUGCGAAGCUACCAUCUGUUGGAUUAUGACUGAACGCCUCUAAGUCAGAAUCCGUGCUAGAAAGCAACGAUAAUUACCUCCAGAUAACCUUAGGCGAACAAGAAUAGAAGACUUCGGUCUUCAUGCGUCCCAAAGUGCCAAGGGAGACAAAAACUCCCAAGGCACUGCCAAUACCAAACUCUAAUGUUGCUGGAGAUAAAUCCUUUGCAGACGACUUAAAUAAAGAACGGGGUAUUGUAAGU